rnacentral:rRNA from 1 species
CUAAGAAUAUUCCGCAAUGGGCGAAAGCCUGACGUAGCGACGCCGCGUGGGUGAAGAAGGCCGAAAGGUUGUAAAGCCCUUUUGGACCUGAAGAGUAAGCGCGGGAGGGAAUGCCCGUGUGGUGACGGUAGGGUUUGAAUAAGCAACGGCUAAUUACGUGCCAGCAGCCGCGGUAACACGUAAGUUGCGAGCGUUGUUCGGAAUUAUUGGGCGUAAAGGGCAUGUAGGCGGUAUGGCAAGCCUGAUGUGAAAUCUCCGGGCUUAACCUGGAGGGUGCAUUGGGAACUGCCAUGCUUGAGUUGCUGAGGGGAAGCCGGAAUUCCAGGUGUAGGGGUGGAAUCUGUAGAUAUCUGGAAGAACACCGAUGGCGAAGGCAGGCUUCUGGCAGACGACUGACGCUGAGGUGCGAAGGUGCGGGGAGCGAACAGGAUUAGAUACCCUGGUAGUCCGCACAGUAAACGAUGUACACUAGGUGUCCGGCAGCAAUGCUGGGUGCCGAAGCAAACGCGGUAAGUGUACCGCCUGGGGAGUAUGCCCGCAAGGGUGAACCUCAAAGGAAUUGACGGGGGCCCGCACAAGCGGUGGAGCAUGUGGUUUAAUUCGAUGGUACGCGAGGAACCUUACCUGGGCUUGACAUAUAGGGUGAUUCGGCAGAGAUGCCGGAGCGCAGCAAUGCGACCCCAUACAGGUGCUGCAUGGCUGUCGUCAGCUC